rnacentral:rRNA from 1 species
GAUGAACGCUGGCGGCGUGCCUAAUACAUGCAAGUCGAGCGAACGGACGAGAAGCUUGCUUCUCUGAUGUUAGCGGCUGACGGGUGAGUAACACGUGAAUAACCGACCUAUAAGACUGGGAUAACUUCGGGAAACCGGAGCUAAUACCGGGUAAUAUUUUGAACCGCAUGGUUCAAAAGUGAAAGACGGUCUUGCUGUCACUUAUAGAUGGAUCCGCGCUGCAUUAGCUAGUUGGUAAGGUAACGGCUUACCAAGGCAACGAUGCAUAGCCGACCUGAGAGGGUGAUAGGCCACACUGGAACUGAGACACGGUCCAGACUCCUACGGGAGGCAGCAGUAGGGAAUCUUCCGCAAUGGGCGAAAGCCUGACGGAGCAACGCCGCGUGAGUGAUGAAGGUCUUCGGAUCGUAAAACUCUGUUAUUAGGGAAGAACAUAUGUGUAAGUAACUGUGCACAUCUUGACGGUACCUAAUCAGAAAGCCACGGCUAACUACGUG